AGUGUUGAUAUAUUUGCUGACAUUUGAGUUUCAAAGUUAUAAGCCACUCAAUGAACCAGAUGCAAUAUUCAUGUAGAUUUAUUUGCACUUGUCUGUUUGAAUCAUACAUAUAUUCAGAAAAGCAUUGAUGUCUCAUUUUUCAGUACUAUGUUGUUCAGAAUUCUUCUGUAUGCUCUCAGACCAUUGUGCUUCAUGAUAAAUGUGGUCUAGAUUCAGGUAUAAAUGAUUAACUUUUUAUUAAAUAAGGAAUAUAUGACACUAAAACUAGUCUAAGCUUUCAUUUGUAGUAGAAAUAAUUAUAUUCACAAAUACUACUUGCUUUUUAAAUGAGACUUAAACUGCAAUUAAUUUAUUUAGAAAAAAGAAGAAGGAUUCUAAUGUUUCAUACUAAGCAUGUUUCAAGGCUUGAGACAAUCUUAACUGUUUUAUUUUGGUAAAACAGUAAAUUAAUCCAUUUAUAGCUAUAAUUUGCAUUCUCUAAGUUCAAGAUAGAAACAACAGGAAUAUAAAGAAUAUUGAUCCAUGAGUAUGUCAAAACAUCAGGUCUAAACUUUUAUUUAAUUAAGUACUUUGAAUGAGUACCAUUAUCUAAGUCACAUUUUUGUUAAUAUAAAAUUCAGAAAUGUUCUAUAAACAGUACUGUUUUCAUUUCAUCAGCUUUAAAAUAUAAAUUAAAUUAUUGAAUUUUAUGUUUUACCAUGCAUACAACUAAAGUAAAAAAAA
rnacentral:lncRNA from 1 species